UUUAUAACUGUGGCUCAUGAACAAAAAUGUUAAGAAAUGCUGACACAGCAUAAGCGAGGGGCUACUUUUGUAAUAAUUGGUUUUAAAGCAGGUAUAAAAAUGUGUCAUGAAUUAGAAACUCAACAGCAGAUUUUGGAAUCACUUGCAGGCAUACAGCAACUAUAGAAGCUCCAUCAGUUUACAUGAUUCUCCAACACUCUGGAGGUGGCAGGAUGAAAUCUUUCUUCUCAUUACAAAGAUGAAGGAAAUGGAGACUUAGCAAGGCUGAGAGACUCCCGAGAGGUCCCCCCACUGAGAGGCCCCAGCACCAGGCCUGGGCCCGCAGGCGUCCCCCCAGACCCCAACCCGGAGGGUCCUGCUGCACCUGCCACCCAAGAAUGAGGCUUCACCUACAUCCUGCCAUCUCCAGGAGCUUCUGCAAUGAAAGCAACAGCACCCAGAGCAAGCGAGGACAGUCUGUGCUUCCAGUGCAGAUUUUCCAAAAAAGACCUCAGAGGCAUCCGAGGGAGAACCCUGCCAAUCCAGGAAUCACAGGGACCGGACCCAGAGAGAAGCCGCUGAGCGACCACAGCCCCUAUCCAAGACGACAGCUGCAAAGGAGGGCCCUCAGAAAGUAACCACUUGCCAGCAGGAUCGGCACAUCCUCGCUGCCCAGAAACCCAGCGGUGGAGGCCAGAGACGCCCCAUGAGCUGCCCAGGGAGGCCAGAGGCGCCCCAUGAGCUGCCCAGGGAUGCUGCAACAGCAGUGAAUGGGCCAGAGGUGAGACCGAGAUGUCAAAAUCAAUAUGCGGGGGGCGUGAUUAAAAGACAAGCAUGGUUGGC
rnacentral:lncRNA from 1 species